rnacentral:rRNA from 1 species
UGAGGAAUAUUGGUCAAUGGGCGUAAGCCUGAACCAGCCAAGUCGCGUGAGGGAAGACGGCCCUAUGGGUUGUAAACCUCUUUUGUCGGGGAGCAAAGCCGCCCACGAGUGGGCGGAAGGAGAGUACCCGAAGAAAAAGCAUCGGCUAACUCCGUGCC